CAAGUCGAACGGCAGCACAGGAGAGCUUGCUCUCUGGGUGGCGAGUGGCGGACGGGUGAGGAAUACAUCGGAAUCUACCUUUUCGUGGGGGAUAACGUAGGGAAACUUACGCUAAUACCGCAUACGACCUACGGGUGAAAGUGGGGGACCGCAAGGCCUCACGCGAUUAGAUGAGCCGAUGUCCGAUUAGCUAGUUGGCGGGGUAAUGGCCCACCAAGGCGACGAUCGGUAGCUGGUCUGAGAGGAUGAUCAGCCACACUGGAACUGAGACACGGUCCAGACUCCUACGGGAGGCAGCAGUGGGGAAUAUUGGACAAUGGGCGCAAGCCUGAUCCAGCCAUACCGCGUGGGUGAAGAAGGCCUUCGGGUUGUAAAGCCCUUUUGUUGGGAAAGAAAUCCUAUCGGUUAAUAACCGGUGGGGAUGACGGUACCCAAAGAAUAAGCACCGGCUAACUUCGUGCCAGCAGCCGCGGUAAUACGAAGGGUGCAAGCGUUACUCGGAAUUACUGGGCGUAAAGCGUGCGUAGGUGGUGGUUUAAGUCCGUUGUGAAAGCCCUGGGCUCAACCUGGGAAUUGCAGUGGAUACUGGAUCACUAGAGUGUGGUAGAGGGAUGCGGAAUUUCUGGUGUAGCAGUGAAAUGCGUAGAGAUCAGAAGGAACAUCCGUGGCGAAGGCGGCAUCCUGGGCCAACACUGACACUGAGGCACGAAAGCGUGGGGAGCAAA
rnacentral:rRNA from 1 species